GCACAGGUGAGAAUAACCCCAAUAAACCCCUCAGCUCCUACAUGGAGCACAGGUGAGACUAAUCCCCUCAGCUCCUACAUGGAGCACAGGUGAGAAUAACCCCAAUAAACCCCUCAGCUCCUACAUGGAGCACAGGUGAGACUAAUCCCCUCAGCUCCUACAUGGAGCACAGGUGAGACUAACCCCCUCAGCUCCUACAUGGAGCACAGGUGAGACUAAUCCACUCAGGUGAGACUAACCCCCUCAGCUCCUACAUGGAGCACAGGUGAGACUAAUCCCCUCAGCUCCUACAUGGAGCACAGGUGAGAAUAACCCCAAUAAACCCCUCAGCUCAUACAUGGA